GCAGCGCGGAGCGCGCGUCCCGCUCCCGCUACUCGGCCGGGCGCGCGCCAGGCGGCGGCUGAACCCAAAGCCCGGAGCCGGGAGCCCGAGGCCGGAGCCAGCGGGCGCCGGGUGACGUCACGGCCGCGCGCCCAAUCGCGGCCCGCGAGCCGGCCCCGCGCGAUCGCGGCCCCUGCCGGGGGCGCGCGGCGGUGGAUCUGGGACGUCGGGCAGCCGCGCGCGUCCUCCUCUCAGCACGAGCCACUCGGGCUGCGGUGCGGUGGCCGGUGCGCGGGGCACCGCGGGGCCAGCCCGCGGGGGGCUGCCAGCCCGGCACCCAGGGUGCUGGAGAUCCCGAGAUAACUGGAGAGACCCCCCCAGCAGUCACUGCCAGACUCCACCGGAGCUCCUGGCAAGGUGUCCAGCUGGACGGUGGCCCAUUCAUGCUCUCAUUUAGCCUUGGUAUCUGUCCGGCUGUGGGGAGAAUAGGUGCCCUUGUCCUUUCUGGGGGCCCAGGAUCCCUCUGGGGAACAAACCUGAAAACUGUCUUAUAAAUCUUGUAGUACAAGACAGAUACCACCAUCUCUCAUUUGAUUUCACAGAUUUGGAAUUAAAGCUCCUCUCCUGAGAAAAAAAAAAAUGCAUUUA